rnacentral:rRNA from 1 species
UACGGAGGGUGCGAGCGUUGUCCGGAAUCAUUGGGCGUAAAGGGCGCGUAGGUGGCGGGAUAAGCGUGCGGUGAAAGCUCGGGGCUCAACCCCGAGUCGGCCGUGCGAACUAUUCUGCUUGAGCACUGUAGAGGCAGGCGGAAUUCCGGGUGUAGCGGUGGAAUGCGUAGAGAUCGGAAGGAACAUCAGUGGCGAAGGCGACUUCCUGGACCAAUACUGACGCUCAGGUGCGAAAGCGUGGGGAGCAAACAGG